AUGAACGCCGGCGGUGUGCCUAAUACAUGCAAGUCGAACGCGUUGGCCCAAUUGAUUGAUGGUGCUUGCACCUGAUUGAUUUUGGUCGCCAACGAGUGGCGGACGGGUGAGUAACACGUAGGUAACCUGCCCAGAAGCGGGGGACAACAUUUGGAAACAGAUGCUAAUACCGCAUAACAGCGUUGUUCGCAUGAACAACGCUUAAAAGAUGGCUUCUCGCUAUCACUUCUGGAUGGACCUGCGGUGCAUUAGCUUGUUGGUGGGGUAACGGCCUACCAAGGCGAUGAUGCAUAGCCGAGUUGAGAGACUGAUCGGCCACAAUGGGACUGAGACACGGCCCAUACUCCUACGGGAGGCAGCAGUAGGGAAUCUUCCACAAUGGGCGCAAGCCUGAUGGAGCAACACCGCGUGAGUGAAGAAGGGUUUCGGCUCGUAAAGCUCUGUUGUUAAAGAAGAACACGUAUGAGAGUAACUGUUCAUACGUUGACGGUAUUUAACCAGAAAGUCACGGCUAACUACGUGCCAGCAGCCGCGGUAAUACGUAGGUGGCAAGCGUUAUCCGGAUUUAUUGGGCGUAAAGAGAGUGCAGGCGGUUUUCUAAGUCUGAUGUGAAAGCCUUCGGCUUAACCGGAGAAGUGCAUCGGAAACUGGAUAACUUGAGUGCAGAAGAGGGUAGUGGAACUCCAUGUGUAGCGGUGGAAUGCGUAGAUAUAUGGAAGAACACCAGUGGCGAAGGCGGCUACCUGGUCUGCAACUGACGCUGAGACUCGAAAGCAUGGGUAGCGAACAGGAUUAGAUACCCUGGUAGUCCAUGCCGUAAACGAUGAGUGCUAGGUGUUGGAGGGUUUCCGCCCUUCAGUGCCGGAGCUAACGCAUUAAGCACUCCGCCUGGGGAGUACGACCGCAAGGUUGAAACUCAAAGGAAUUGACGGGGACCCGCACAAGCGGUGGAGCAUGUGGUUUAAUUCGAAGCAACGCGAAGAACCUUACCAAAUCUUGACAUCGAUCUGACCGGACCGUAAUGGGUCCUUUCCCUUCGGGGACAGAGAAGACAGGUGGUGCAUGGUUGUCGUCAGCUCGUGUCGUGAGAUGUUGGGUUAAGUCCCGCAACGAGCGCAACCCUUAUUGUUAGUUGCUACGCAAGAGCACUCUAGCGAGACUGCCGUUGACAAAACGGAGGAAGGCGGGGACGACGUCAAAUCAUCAUGCCCCUUAUGGCUUGGGCUACACACGUGCUACAAUGGACGGUACAACGAGUCGCGAACUCGCGAGGGCAAGCAAAUCUCUUAAAACCGUUCUCAGUUCGGACUGCAGGCUGCAACUCGCCUGCACGAAGUCGGAAUCGCUAGUAAUCGCGGAUCAGCAUGCCGCGGUGAAUACGUUCCCGGGCCUUGUACACACCGCCCGUCACACCAUGAGAGUUUGUAACACCCAAAGUCGGUGGGGUAACCUUUUAGGAGCCAGCCGCCUAAGGUGGGACAGAUGAUUAGGGUG
rnacentral:rRNA from 1 species